rnacentral:rRNA from 1 species
GGACCAAGGAGUCUAGCAUGUGCGCGAGUCAUUGGGAUAUUUAUGAAACCUAAAGGCGUAAUGAAAGUGAAGGUUCGCCUUGCGCGAACCGAGGGAGGAUGGACGGUUCCGAGGAAACGUCUCGCACUCCCGGGGCGUCUCGCUCUCAUCGCGAGAAGAGGCGCACCCAGAGCGUACACGCUGGGACCCGAAAGAUGGUGAACUAUGCCUGGUCAGGACGAAGUCAGGGGAAACCCUGAUGGAGGUCCGUAGCGAUUCUGACGUGCAAAUCGAUCGUCGGAACUGGGUAUAGGGGCGAAAGACUAAUCGAACCAUCUAGUAGCUGGUUCCCUCCGAAGUUUCCCUCAGGAUAGCUGGCGCUCGCUUCUCGCGAGUCUCAUUCGGUAAAGCGAAUGAUUAGAGGCAUUGGGGUCGAAACGGCCUCAACCUAUUCUCAAACUUUAAAUGGGUGAGAUCUCCGGCUUGCUUGAACUAUGAAGCCGCGAGAUAUCGGAUCAGAGUGCCAAGUGGGCCACUUUUGGUAAGCAGAACUGGCGCUGUGGGAUGAACCAAACGCUGAGUUAAAGCGCCUAAAUCGACGCUUAUGGGAUACCAUGAAAGGCGUUGGUAACUUAAGACAGCAGGACGGUGGCCAUGGAAGUCGGA